rnacentral:tRNA from 1 species
CGCGAGGUAGAGCAGUGGUAGCUCGUCGGGCUCAUAACCCGAAGGUCGCUGGUUCGAGUCCAGUCCUCGCUACAA